UCAGGAUACCUGCUGAGGCCAAUCCAGGAUCAACAGACUCUACUGAAGCUUGGACAUAUGUUUCUGUGUAGUGUGGGUGGCACUGGAUUUUUGAUUUAGUCUGUGACGUGCUGUUUCUGCCGCUCCCGCUUUUCAAUCUCCUGUUGUUUUUUUGAGGUUUCAAAGUGCUGAGAAACCUGCAGCAGACUUUUCCUUCUU